rnacentral:rRNA from 1 species
GGGGAGAUUCAGCCCCGUCCGCGUGUGUCGGACCACGGGCGGUUGCCACCGGAUGCUCCCGGCCGCCCGUGGUUUUCAGGCCGUGGCGGGGUGCACUUCUGGCCCCGAGUUGGACGUCGCGACCCGUUGGAGGAGUCCUACGGACGCAGCGGCCUAAGGCCCGGGACUGAGACCGGGGGCACUUCCGCUGAGGCGCGGGCAAAAGGUGCCCUCGGACCCCGGUAAGCCCGGCCGCCCUCCGACGGUCUUUGUUAGGGAGGAUAAAGGCCGGCUACCUCAGCGCCUGGCGCGAGGAGAGAGCGUCCGACCCGGUGGGCAAGAACUUCGGGGAAGCGAUUCCGGGUGUCGCGUGGCUCUCGUCACGCCCCCGGACCCCGUUAGACUGAUAGCCCCCGUGGACACUCGGACAAUCCAACCGCGGCCACUCCAGUCGGCGGCGCUUCAGCUCCGGGUGCUCUCCCGACCCGUCUUGAAA